rnacentral:rRNA from 1 species
UUAAGUUAUUAAGGGCGCACGGUGGAUGCCUUGGCACUAGAAGCCGAUGAAGGACGUUACUAACGACGAUAUGCUUUGGGGAGCUGUAAGUAAGCUUUGAUCCAGAGAUUUCCGAAUGGGGAAACCCAGCAUGAGUUAUGUCAUGUUAUCGAUAUGUGAAUACAUAGCAUAUCAGAAGGCACACCCGGAGAACUGAAACAUCUUAGUACCCGGAGGAAGAGAAAGAAAAUUCGAUUCCCUUAGUAGCGGCGAGCGAAACGGGAAGAGCCCAAACCAACAAGCUUGCUUGUUGGGGUUGUAGGACACUCUAUACGGAGUUACAAAGGACGACAUUAGACGAAUCAUCUGGAAAGAUGAAUCAAAGAAGGUAAUAAUCCUGUAGUCGAAAAUGUUGUCUCUCUUGAGUGGAUCCUGAGUACGACGGAGCACGUGAAAUUCCGUCGGAAUCUGGGAGGACCAUCUCCUAAGGCUAAAUACUCUCUAGUGACCGAUAGUGAACCAGUACCGUGAGGGAAAGGUGAAAAGCACCCCGGAAGGGGAGUGAAAUAGAACCUGAAACCGUGUGCUUACAAGUAGUCAGAGCCCGUUAAUGGGUGAUGGCGUGCCUUUUGUAGAAUGAACCGGCGAGUUACGAUUUGAUGCAAGGUUAAGCAGUAAAUGUGGAGCCGUAGCGAAAGCGAGUCUGAAUAGGGCGUUUAGUAUUUGGUCGUAGACCCGAAACCAGGUGAUCUACCCUUGGUCAGGUUGAAGUUCAGGUAACACUGAAUGGAGGACCGAACCGACUUACGUUGAAAAGUGAGCGGAUGAACUGAGGGUAGCGGAGAAAUUCCAAUCGAACCUGGAGAUAGCUGGUUCUCUCCGAAAUAGCUUUAGGGCUAGCCUCAAGUGAUGAUUAUUGGAGGUAGAGCACUGUUUGGACGAGGGGCCCCUCUCGGGUUACCGAAUUCAGACAAACUCCGAAUGCCAAUUAAUUUAACUUGGGAGUCAGAACAUGGGUGAUAAGGUCCGUGUUCGAAAGGGAAACAGCCCAGACCACCAGCUAAGGUCCCAAAAUAUAUGUUAAGUGGAAAAGGAUGUGGCGUUGCCCAGACAACUAGGAUGUUGGCUUAGAAGCAGCCAUCAUUUAAAGAGUGCGUAAUAGCUCACUAGUCGAGUGACACUGCGCCGAAAAUGUACCGGGGCUAAACAUAUUACCGAAGCUGUGGAUUGUCCUUUGGACAAUGGUAGGAGAGCGUUCUAAGGGCGUUGAAGCAUGAUCGUAAGGACAUGUGGAGCGCUUAGAAGUGAGAAUGCCGGUGUGAGUAGCGAAAGACGGGUGAGAAUCCCGUCCACCGAUUGACUAAGGUUUCCAGAGGAAGGCUCGUCCGCUCUGGGUUAGUCGGGUCCUAAGCUGAGGCCGACAGGCGUAGGCGAUGGAUAACAGGUUGAUAUUCCUGUACCACCUAUAAUCGUUUUAAUCGAUGGGGGGACGCAGUAGGAUAGGCGAAGCGUGCGAUUGGAUUGCACGUCUAAGCAGUAAGGCUGAGUAUUAGGCAAAUCCGGUACUCGUUAAGGCUGAGCUGUGAUGGGGAGAAGACAUUGUGUCUUCGAGUCGUUGAUUUCACACUGCCGAGAAAAGCCUCUAGAUAGAAAAUAGGUGCCCGUACCGCAAACCGACACAGGUAGUCAAGAUGAGAAUUCUAAGGUGAGCGAGCGAACUCUCGUUAAGGAACUCGGCAAAAUGACCCCGUAACUUCGGGAGAAGGGGUGCUCUUUAGGGUUAACGCCCAGAAGAGCCGCAGUGAAUAGGCCCAAGCGACUGUUUAUCAAAAACACAGGUCUCUGCUAAACCGUAAGGUGAUGUAUAGGGGCUGACGCCUGCCCGGUGCUGGAAGGUUAAGAGGAGUGGUUAGCUUCUGCGAAGCUACGAAUCGAAGCCCCAGUAAACGGCGGCCGUAACUAUAACGGUCCUAAGGUAGCGAAAUUCCUUGUCGGGUAAGUUCCGACCCGCACGAAAGGCGUAACGAUUUGGGCACUGUCUCAACGAGAGACUCGGUGAAAUCAUAGUACCUGUGAAGAUGCAGGUUACCCGCGACAGGACGGAAAGACCCCGUGGAGCUUUACUGUAGCCUGAUAUUGAAAUUCGGCACAGCUUGUACAGGAUAGGUAGGAGCCUUUGAAACGUGAGCGCUAGCUUACGUGGAGGCGCUGGUGGGAUACUACCCUAGCUGUGUUGGCUUUCUAACCCGCACCACUUAUCGUGGUGGGAGACAGUGUCAGGCGGGCAGUUUGACUGGGGCGGUCGCCUCCUAAAAGGUAACGGAGGCGCUCAAAGGUUCCCUCAGAAUGGUUGGAAAUCAUUCAUAGAGUGUAAAGGCAUAAGGGAGCUUGACUGCGAGACCUACAAGUCGAGCAGGGUCGAAAGACGGACUUAGUGAUCCGGUGGUUCCGCAUGGAAGGGCCAUCGCUCAACGGAUAAAAGCUACCCCGGGGAUAACAGGCUUAUCUCCCCCAAGAGUUCACAUCGACGGGGAGGUUUGGCACCUCGAUGUCGGCUCAUCGCAUCCUGGGGCUGUAGUCGGUCCCAAGGGUUGGGCUGUUCGCCCAUUAAAGCGGUACGCGAGCUGGGUUUAGAACGUCGUGAGACAGUUCGGUCCCUAUCCGCUGUGCGCGUAGGAGUCUUGAGAAGGGCUGUCCCUAGUACGAGAGGACCGGGACGGACGAACCUCUGGUGUGCCAGUUGUCCUGCCAAGGGCAUGGCUGGUUGGCUACGUUCGGGAGGGAUAACCGCUGAAAGCAUCUAAGCGGGAAGCCUGCUUCGAGAUGAGGACUCCCACCCCCUUGAGGGGUUAAGGCUCCCAGUAGACGACUGGGUUGAUAGGCCGGAUCUGGAAGCACCGUGAGGUGUGGAGGUGACCGGUACUAAUAGGCCGAGGGCUUGUCCUC